GACGAACGCUGGCGGCGUGCUUAACACAUGCAAGUCGAACGGUGAAGCGCCUUCCUUUUUGGUGGGUGUGGAUGAGUGGCGAACGGGUGAGUAACACGUGAGUAACCUGCCCCCUUCUUCUGGAUAACCGCAUGAAAGUGUGGCUAAUACGGGAUAUUCUGGGUCUGUCGCAUGAUGGGUCUGGGAAAGAUAUUGUUUCGGUGGGGGAUGGGCUCGCGGCCUAUCAGCUUGUUGGUGGGGUGAUGGCCUACCAAGGCGGUGACGGGUAGCCGGCCUGAGGGGGUGGACGGUCACACUGGGACUGAGACACGGCCCAGACUCCUACGGGAGGCAGCAGUGGGGAAUAUUGCACAAUGGGCGCAAGCCUGAUGCAGCGACGCCGCGUGAGGGAUGGAGGCCUGCGGGUUGUGAACCUCUUUCGCCAGUGAAGCAGGCCUGCCUCGUUUGUGGGUGGGUUGACGGUAGCUGGAUAAGAAGCGCUGGCUAACUACGUG
rnacentral:rRNA from 1 species